rnacentral:rRNA from 1 species
GUCUAGGGCCAUACCACCCUGAACGCAUCUGAUCUCAGGAGCUAAGCAGGGUCGGGCGUGAUUAGUACUUGGAUGGGAGACAUUUGAUGAAAACGGGCAAACC